AUUGAACGCUGGCGGAAUGCUUUACACAUGCAAGUCGAACGGCAGCACGGACUUCGGUCUGGUGGCGAGUGGCGAACGGGUGAGUAAUGUAUCGGAACGUGCCCAGUCGUGGGGGAUAACGUAGUGAAAAUUACGCUAAUACCGCAUACGAUCUAUGGACGAAAGCGGGGGAUCGAAAGACCUCGCGCGAUUGGAGCGGCCGAUAACAGAUUAGGUAGUUGGUGGGGUAAAGGCCCACCAAGCCAACGAUCUGUAGAUGGUCUGAGGAGGACGACCAGCCACACUGGAACUGAGACACGGUCCAGACUCCUACGGGAGGCAGCAGUGGGGAAUUUUGGACAAUGGGCGAAAGCCUGAUCCAGCCAUUCCGCGUGCAGGAUGAAGGCCCUCGGGUUGUAAACUGCUUUUGUACAGAACGAAAAGGUUUCUACUAAUACUAGGAGCUCAUGACGGUACUGUAAGAAUAAGCACCGGCUAACUACGUGCCAGCCGCCGCCGUAA
rnacentral:rRNA from 1 species